UACGAAGGGGGCUAGCGUUGCUCGGAAUCACUGGGCGUAAAGCGCACGUAGGCGGAUUGCUAAGUCAGGGGUGAAAUCCUGGAGCUCAACUCCAGAACUGCCUUUGAUACUGGCGAUCUCGAGUCCGGGAGAGGUGAGUGGAACUGCGAGUGUAGAGGUGAAAUUCGUAGAUAUUCGCAAGAACACCAGUGGCGAAGGCGGGUCUCUGGACAGUUCCUGACGCUGAGGCACGAAGGCCAGGGGAGCAAACGGG
rnacentral:rRNA from 1 species